UCCAAAGCUUACGAGUAGUGUACAUAUGUGA
rnacentral:piRNA from 1 species